UUAUUUUCAGCAACCAAAAAAAAUUAGUCGCCAAAUUAGCACUUUUAGCGACUAAUAUUUUAGUCGCCGUUGAUUGAGAUUUGGCAACUAAAAAAAUUUGUCGGCAAAGGGUACAUUUUCUGCGACUAAUCUGAUAUUUUAGUCGCCAAAAAUUUGGGAGGGAAUUUUGAAACGUGGGGCGGGUAUUUUGGUCACACUUUCUCAUUUUCUCCUCUUUCAUCUCUCUUUGAAAUAGGUGCGAGACAAGCGAACAAACAACACCGAACCACUCUCUCUCUCUCGUCUUUGCGUUCGAUUCGAACCCUAGGCACAUUGAAUCAAUCAUUCGGAGUCUCUCUUGGAUCUACAUGGUGAUCACCUCCCCCUUUCUCUUCUCUCACGCCUCACGCCUCACGCCUCUGUGUCUCUUCUCUCUCACGCCUCACGCUGCCCUCCUCUCUGUUACUGGAGCAUCACCGCAAGGGUUAGACGAGCACACCGUAAGGGUUAGCACUACCAUCGCUUUGUCUCGGGUAGUUUAUAUUUGAUGCUGCUGCAAAGUUCUGUGUUGAUAUUGCAACUCAUCAGCAUGGAUGUUGUGUUCUGAAUCGAUGCAUUGAUAAGUCAGUUGGGAAAUAUCAGGAAAAGUUGGUUGCAGCAAUUGCUGCUUAUGGGCUUCUUCUUGCUCAAGAUGCUUUUGGGUAAUUUUUUUUGAAAAGUUUGGAUGAUAUCUUUGAUUGAAUAUUUUUUAUGUACUAUGUAUGCAUGCUUAUGGCUGUAUUUUGAUAGAAUGAUCCACAUAGAAAUAUAUCCAACAAAUGAGUAUUUUUGCUCACUAAAAAGUAAUCAUUUUCAUGCUGUGAUACGGUUUGUUUGCAUUCUUGUUAGGAAUUAUUGAUUUCUCUGUAAUUCUAUUAUUUGUUACUCAAAAUCUUGCUUUUGAAUAUCACUGCAUUUAGUAAUAUGGUAACGGAAAAAAAAAAAAAAAAAAAACAAAGCACUGCCUUAACAUCUUUGUCUCCUUCAAGUUGAUCAUUAAUGUGAGAGGUUCCUUCUGGUUAGAGAAUCAUGCUAAAGUGGCUCUCCCAUCAAUAGCUUGCUCAACCUACCAAUCACUAGAUACAUAAAUUGUUGACUGUUGUGUUUUAUCAUCAGAUGUGGAGAUUAUUCUUCGUAAUUGUUCUUUAAACUGUAAUUGCUAAACAAUGCUUCAUCUUGAAAACCCUGGGCAGACUUUUCGUGCUCCACUGGCCUUCUUACUUAGCAUUAGCUCAUUUCAUUGUGACUAGUUCACCCUUUGUAGUUUGUACUUAGCUAGGCCAUGAUUUAUGUUACAUUGCUAAAAAAGUAUUGAGCAUUGAGAUCUGACACACUAAUGUAACGGAU